CCUACGGGGGGCUGCAGUGGGGAAUAUUGGACAAUGGGGGGAACCCUGAUCCAGCCAUGCCGCGUGUGUGAAGAAGGCCCUCGGGUUGUAAGCACUUUCAGUGAGGAAGAAUGCCUGGUGGUUAAUACCCAUCAGGAAAGACAUCACUCACAGAAGAAGCACCGGCUAACUCCGUGCCAGCAGCCGCGGUAAUACGGAGGGUGCGAGCGUUAAUCGGAAUUACUGGGCGUAAAGCGCGCGUAGGUGGCUUGAUAAGCCGGUUGUGAAAGCCCCGGGCUCAACCUGGGAACGGCAUCCGGAACUGUCAAGCUAGAGUGCAGGAGAGGAAGGUAGAAUUCCCGGUGUAGCGGUGAAAUGCGUAGAGAUCGGGAGGAAUACCAGUGGCGAAGGCGGCCUUCUGGACUGACACUGACACUGAGGUGCGAAAGCGUGGGUAGCAAACAGGAUUAGAUACCCGAGUAGUC
rnacentral:rRNA from 1 species